rnacentral:rRNA from 1 species
CCUACGGGAGGCAGCAGUGGGGAAUAUUGCACAAUGGGGGAAACCCUGAUGCAGCGACGCCGCGUGAGUGAAGAAGUAUUUCGGUAUGUAAAGCUCUAUCAGCAGUGAAGAAGUCAGACGGUACCUGAGUAAGAAGCCCCGGCUAACUACGUGCCAGCAGCCGCGGUAAU